rnacentral:lncRNA from 1 species
GUGAAUAGUGGCCCAGAGUGUGAGAGGCCACUGAAGUGGCUGGGACUGUGGGCUCUGGAGUGCUUGCUGUACAAUAUGAUAGCCAUUGUCAUAGUACAAUCAUUGAUGUCUGUUUGAUCUGGCACACCCUGAGAGGGGUAAAUCCUCCAAGGUCAGCACAGCUAGAGCCGUGCAUGAGAAUAUAGAAAUAAUAAAAGGAUAUGGCUCACACUACUGGCCCUGAGAUGCUUUGACCAUAUAAAAUAUAUGACAUCAUUAAUAGUAGCAAGUUAAAGGAAUGAUUGUGGUGGGGAUGAAUGUGUGGCAGGAGGUCACGGAGGAAAGCUAGUUCUUAGAGUAUGGGAAGAUACAAAGUAGUGAAUGGUCCAUUUCCUAGGGGUCAAGGAGCUGACUGAUAGGUGAUAGUCCCCAGGUGACUUCUGGGGAAAAACCAUCCUCCUGCAUUUUUGAAGUUAUAUUAAUAGUAGUACAUUCUCCCACAUUUCUUUUUAGGCAUGGAAGUGUACUUGUGUGUAUGUUGGCAGAAUAACGGUUAUACCUAGGUCAUGGGCUAAGCAAAGAUAACACCGUAGAAUCUCUAAUAUCAAAGUAGGAAAAUAAAAUAAUGUCAUGUAUCCAAUUUUGUCUUAAGAGAGGUAGUCCAAGGACCUUGUUGGGAGCCAGUGUUCACAUCCAGGAUAAAGUUAUAUCUGCUGCAUUGUGCAAAGUCAUCUUCAAUAGUGAGCUCUUGGGCGGGUAAUGUCAUUAUGGCUAUUGGACUAUCCAAGUGGAUACCAACUCAAGCUAAGAGGGAUCAUAUUUUGUUUAUGUGUCUGGUUUUAUGAUGUUAUAAUGAGUUUAAUCUGCUUGUAUAACUUGAAGGCAAUGUGGUUCCUGGUAUCUUGGCUUUCCAAGUAUCUUUUAAUUCAAGGAGCUUUUUGGUACAUCAUGCACAAUUGUGACUUAAGCAUGCAUAGCAGAGCUCCACUGAGACAAUUAAAUUCCCAAGAAUAUAUGACCAAACAUACACAUUAACAAUACUCUUAGGUUUUGCCCAGAUGGUGAUGAAAGGAGUUUAUUUGCAAACAGCUUUGGAAUCACUUGGUCUGAUUUGGGUAUAUUUUUUUUAGUAGCAUGUUAGGUCAUUUGCAAAUCACAAUAUUAAGACUCAAGUUUGUAGAUCCAGCAUUAAGCCAAAAUUUGGCAAACUGCUGUGGGCCUUUGUUCAGUUUUCAGUUUGGUUGGUAACAUAAGUUGUUGAGGUGUAGAGCUGAAGGGCCUUUCUUAGCUAAACUAGAUUGGCAUAAAGAGCCUCAGCAUUUGCCAUAUCUGGUUGAAAAGAUGAGUUGCUUUGAGGCAUGUGGGCUUCUAACUUGCAAAGCAACAAAAGUAUUGAAACCAUCCAAUAAUAAUGAGGGCAACAAUCAACAGAAUUGUUGAGGUUUACCUAAGAAUUUCUUUUCGGGGAAUAUCGCAAGGCUGCCAGCACCUUGCUGGGGGUAAUUUCUCCUGCCCAGGAGGGGGAUAAGCCAACUGAAAAAAUACAGUCUGAAAUAAGUAAGACAAAGUCAGAAUUAUAGUUUUAGGAAGCAUGGAGCGCCUGAUAAGUCCAGCCCACACAGGAGCUGGAGCUGAACAAUUAAAAAAUGGCUCUGAUGGUUUAUUUAAGGGGGUCAUCAAAGGCAGGGAUAAGGUAUCAGGGGUGGAGUCUUGCUUCAUGAUGUCUUACAGUCAACAGGUUGAUUGGCAUCUUGGCAGAUCACACCCAUCUCUGAGAAGCUGUGUGGCUACAGCAGGUCACCCCAUCUCUGGAGCUCUGUGGGACCUGGCAGAGCUGAAUAGGACUCACACCUAUCUGGGCAAUCUUACCAGCGGGAUUGCCACUGUAAGUUCCCAAGUCCCACAU